AUGAAGAAACAGAAAAUGGCGAAUGGACCAUCACACGACAAGAACAAGGUGUUCGCCAGUUUGACUCACGAAGAUGCUUCAGAUAUUGAUCCGUCUUACAAGAUUUUCUUGGAAAAUCUUAUUGAAGAUGGAAGUGCGUAUGUGUUUCAUAUGCCAAAUGGGGACCAUGGCUUGCCUGCUUCCAUCAGGUAUGAAGAGGAUGCUAUGUCAUAUGGAGGCACAAAUGUCCCCAAAAAAUUGCCACACACAAGUCGGGGUGGUCCAAAUGUCAAGCGACUAGAUCAAACAUCAGGCAGGGCUGUCAAUGGAAAUGCGGGCCAUUCCUUUCUACCAAGGACAUUGUCUGUGAAGAACAACACCUCAGAGGUCGAUGAAUCUUAUGCAGAAUUUCUGAGCCUCAUGAAGAUCAAGGAUGGUUUCAUGGUUCUUGAGCUGGAACCAGGUGUUACUGUGGUAUACGAGCAAGAGGAGAAGACACCCCCUGGAUAUGAUGAAUUGAGAACUUUGGUUAUGUCUGAACGUGGAAUUGACGGGCCUGCUCCAGAAAAUUUGCAUGGUCAGGAUUUAAUCUGCACAGAUGAGCAUGGACUUGUACCUUGUACUGAAUCUUCUGAUUUUAACGCAUCUGAAGAAUGUGAAGAAGCACCUAUUGCUCUUAGUUGUGGUGCUCCUUCUACAUUUGAUGAAAAACUUGAUUCUGUUUUAAGUCAGCCAUAUGACCAAAAUGAAUACAAAGAGCUUAUGAGAAAAGCCACUGACCAGAAGCCUGUGAGCAGACAAAGACAAUUGCGAAGUGGAUCCAAGCGCUAUGCCACAGGAUUCGUUGGACUGUCGUAUCUUGAUCACUACCCAGAUCUGGCCAAGCAAAUCGACACUGCUGACACUAAUGAGAGACGACUGAACCUCCUGCGAAAAUUCUUCUUCUGGCUGGAGAACUUAUGCCAUGAUGGAGCACACAUGCCAUGGAUCGCCAAGGCGCUGGCCUGCAAUCCCAUCGCAACAGACGACUGA
rnacentral:rRNA from 1 species